ACCAGCUCCGUGGCAGGUGGCUGGAGGCCCAGCAGCUAUGCUCUCCUGUCACAUGAGCUAACAGGACCCCACUGUUCUCCAGGGUGGCCGUGGGACCAGUUCAAGCCCUGCAUUUUCCAGCCUCCACCACAGCCAAGAGUGGCCCCACACUGAUCCUGGCUAGGACAUGUGAGGGGAGCGUGGUAUGCGCCUCGCCUGCAGGAACCCCAGCAGCCAUCUUGGACCAUGAGAAGAGCAUGCGGUGCAAGGGAGGGGGAAGAAAGGAGCCUGGCCUCCUGACAGCACAGGAUGACAGAACCUAUGCUCAUAGAGAGAGUACUAUUUUUAUGUCCAGUACAUAUACAAGGAAACCGAGGCUCAGGAGGAGAAGAUGCCCAAGGGACUACCUGGGGUAAAGACUGAAAUUCGUCAGAAUGAGAACCUGAGGGCUUCUGGGAGGAUUCCAUGGGUCACAGUGUGGGAUGCCCGUGGCUCUGUGCCAGCUGGAGAAAGUGCCUGGUUGGUGACUGUCAUGGACUGAGUUGUGUCCUUCAAAAUAUGUGUCAACUUGGCUAGGCUGUGAUUCCCCGUAUUGUGUGACUGUCCAACAUUUUGUCAUCUGGUGUGAUUUUCCUAUUUGUUGUAAAUCCUACCUCUAUGAUGUUGAUGACGUGGGAUUAGUGUCAGUUAUGUCAAUGAGGCAGGACUCAAUCUACAAGAUUAGGUUUUGUCUUAAGCCAAUCUCUUUUGAAAUAGAAAAGAGAGAAACAAGCAGAGAGACAUGGGGACCUCAUACCACCGAGAAACAAGAACCAGGAGAAUAGCGUGUCCUUUGGACCCAGGGUCCCUGCACUGAGAAGCUCCUCAACUGAGUAAGAUUAAUGACAAGGACCUUCCCCCAGAGUGACAGAGAGAGAGAGCCUUUCCCUGAAGCCGGCAUCCUGAAAUUGGACUUUUAGCCCCUUAGACUAAGAAUAAAUUUCUCUUCGUUAAAGCCAUCGACUUGUGCUAUUUGCAUUAGAGCUGUGCUAGCUGACUUGGAAACUCUAUGGGGCAGUUCUACUCUGUCCUAUAGGGUUGCUAUAAGUCGGAAUCAACUCGAUGGCACUGGGUUUUUUUUUUAGCUGACUGAGACACCAUCCACCUGUGGCAUCUCUGCUACAGCAGCACUAGAUGGCUAAGAACCGGCCGUGGCCACUGUCUCCUCCAGGCCUGUGGCCUCGACGUGCAGCUGGGCCACCCCUAGGCCUUGCAUGUGACAUAGGCAGGCACCCCGCUGGGGAAGAGCCUACUGGGUGGGGGGCUUCUCCUCCCAGGCAGAGGAAUGCACUCCCCCACUCCCUCUCCUGCAGAAAGCCUCCACCCCUCUGUCCCCCUCUCCACCCCUGCCGUGGCAUGAAAGGCCAACCACUCCUGCAGAAAGAAACAGAGGUUUAUUUGCAGUAAAAACCAUGGUCUGAAAAAACCCAUUGGCAAAUGUACAGUUUGUGUUCCAUUUGGGGUAGUCGCAGGCUGCGGAAACCCCAUCCCUGAACCGCAUGCAUUGGGCUCCUGUGUUCACAGCUAAGUCCCAGGUCCCAACCCUAAGCUACUUCAGGGGCGCCCCUCCUUCUUGGCAAAACCACCGCACCCCAGCCUUCCCCAGCCCUCCUCCCAUCCUGGUCAGUGCAAAAAACAAACAAAACCAAAUACAAAUUUUAAAGUAAACAAAAACAGAACAAAAAUUUCACAAAAACGAGGGCUCUACAUAUUUUCCCCUCAGUACCCUUCGUUAUCAUGAUGACUUGUGUGAGGAACUAAAAUAUACGUCAUUUUCUUGCUCUAUAAAAUCUUUUCCUAUCGUUCACAGAUACAUAAUGGGGGAUUUGGAUGACAUAAUUACAAACUUUUUCCCCUUAAAAAAACAAAGCUAAAAAAAAAAAAAGUUUC